UACGGGGGGGGUAAGCGUUGUUCGGAAUUACUGGGCGUAAAGGGCUCGUAGGCGGCCAACUAAGUCAUACGUGAAAUCCCUCAGCUUAACUGGGGAACUGCGUGUGAUACUGGAUGGCUUGGAUUUGGGAGAGGGAUGCGGAAUUCCAGGUGUAGAGGUGAAAUUCGUAGAUAUUCGGAAGAACACCAGUGGCGAAGGCGGCUCACUGGCCCGUUACCGACGCUCAGGCGCGACAGCGUGGGGAGCAAACAGG
rnacentral:rRNA from 1 species